UACGGAGGGUGCAAGCGUUAUCCGGAAUCACUGGGUUUAAAGGGUGCGUAGGCGGCCUGGUAAGUCAGGUGUGAAAGCUUCCCGCUCAACGGGAGAACUGCCCUUGAUACUGCCAGGCUCGAAUUGGGUUGAGGCCGGCGGAAUGUGGCAUGUAGCGGUGAAAUGCUUAGAUAUGCCAUAGAACACCGAUUGCGAAGGCAGCCGGCCA
rnacentral:rRNA from 1 species